UUACGGAGAGUUUGAUCCUGGCUCAGGAUGAACGCUGGCGGCGUGCUUAACACAUGCAAGUCGAACGAUGAAGCCCAGCUUGCUGGGUGGAUUAGUGGCGAACGGGUGAGUAACACGUGAGUAACCUGCCCUUAACUCUGGGAUAAGCCUGGGAAACUGGGUCUAAUACCGGAUAGGAGCGUCCACCGCAUGGUGGGUGUUGGAAAGAUUUAUCGGUUUUGGAUGGACUCGCGGCCUAUCAGCUUGUUGGUGAGGUAAUGGCUCACCAAGGCGACGACGGGUAGCCGGCCUGAGAGGGUGACCGGCCACACUGGGACUGAGACACGGCCCAGACUCCUACGGGAGGCAGCAGUGGGGAAUAUUGCACAAUGGGCGAAAGCCUGAUGCAGCGACGCCGCGUGAGGGAUGACGGCCUUCGGGUUGUAAACCUCUUUCAGUAGGGAAGAAGCGAAAGUGACGGUACCUGCAGAAGAAGCACCGGCUAACUACGUGCCAGCAGCCGCGGUAAUACGUAGGGUGCGAGCGUUAUCCGGAAUUAUUGGGCGUAAAGAGCUCGUAGGCGGUUUGUCGCGUCUGUCGUGAAAGUCCGGGGCUUAACCCCGGAUCUGCGGUGGGUACGGGCAGACUAGAGUGCAGUAGGGGAGACUGGAAUUCCUGGUGUAGCGGUGGAAUGCGCAGAUAUCAGGAGGAACACCGAUGGCGAAGGCAGGUCUCUGGGCUGUAACUGACGCUGAGGAGCGAAAGCAUGGGGGGCGAACAGGAUUAGAUACCCUGGUAGUCCGUGCCG
rnacentral:rRNA from 1 species